rnacentral:rRNA from 1 species
UACGUAGGGAGCAAGCGUUGUCCGGAAUCAUUGGGCGUAAAGCGCGCGUAGGCGGCCCUGUAAGUCCGUUGUGAAAGUCAAAGGCUCAACCUUUGAAAGCCGAUGGAUACUGCAGGGCUAGAGUCCGGAAGAGGCGAGUGGAAUUCCUGGUGUAGCGGUGGAAUGCGCAGAUAUCAGGAGGAACACCUAUUGCGAAGGCAGCUCGCUGGGACGUAACUGACGCUGAGACGCGAAAGCGUGGGGAGCAAACAGG